GCGUGAGUAGUUCAUAUCAGACAUACGGGUUCGUAGGUAGUAGUUAGAUCGCUUUCUCUCUCAUUUUGUUUCUCAAUACAAUGGUCUCUUGGAGAUCCAUAUGAUGUAACUCUUUCUUUUGCGGUGUGUUUGUUGGGAUCCGAUGAAUUGUGAGUUUAGGAUCAGAUCUAUGAAAAUAUAUUCAUGCUUGAUUAUUAUAGCUUCGUAUUUCUUCUCUGAUAUUUGUUUGUUGUGUGGACAACUAGAUCUUUUAUCCUACAAUGGGAAGAGGUGCUUUGUGAUGGGUUUGAUCUUCCAGUGCUUAAUGUCAGUGGAAGAAAGAGACAUGACACGCAUGUAUCGUUGCUAUCAAGGAUAAAACGAUGGGGUUUAUUCCUGCAUGAAUAGAUCUUGUCUACAUCAUGUCAUCAUUCUUAAUGCAUUACUUCGCUUCUCCAUGAACUCAAUACACUAGAUGCAUGCUCGAUAGCAAACGAUGUGUGGAAUAAUAGAAGUAGAUGCAGGCAGAAAUCAGUCUACUUAUCUUGGACGUGAUGCCUAUAUACAUGAUCAUUGUCUUGAAUAUCGUCAUAAUUAUUUGCUCUUCUAUCAAUUGCCCAAUAGUAAUUUGUCAACCCACCGUUUGCUAUUUCUCGAGAGAAGCUACUAGUGAAACCUGCGCCCCCGGGGUCUACUGUACAUCAU
rnacentral:lncRNA from 1 species